rnacentral:lncRNA from 1 species
CUUUUAGCACCUCUAGCAACAGCUCUACAGUGAACAAGCAUCUCAUCAAGUGUAAUAGGCAAAGUGGUGUCAUGCCCAUGAACUACCAUAGAUGCUGAGUCACCCACAAGACAUAUAUCAAUUCCAGCCAUAUCUAUAUGAACACCUGAUGGGUAAUCAUAACCCGUCACCAUUGUUAUAGGCUCCCCCUUCUUAUGUUUUUGUCUUAGACUCGUUAGUGUCACUCUUUGAUUUGGGUUUUGGGGUUUCGGCCCACCAUAUACAGUGUUUUCUGGAACGUUACUCAUGUACCUCAAUUUUCUGUAAUGGGUUUGCACAUUUUUCCUCACUGAAGAAGAAAUAGUUCUUGAAAUUGAAGGAAAGAAUACCAUUUUGAAUAAAGGCUGUAAGAUGUGAAUGAUUGGAUUGUAGAUAUAUAAGCAUGCAAGAAUGGAGAAAGCAGCCCCUUUUUGCGCCAACCAAAAAGGACUUAGCUGUGGCGGGCUGAACCUGAACUAUCCAAAAGCACCUGAAAAGUGAAAAUUAUCAAACAGUUUAUUAGGAAUUUGAAAUUUCCGAGAUACGUUCUGUUUAAACUGUUGUACACUGCCGGUGAAGUUGUUUAUGGAGUAUCAAUCGACGGUGUGGCGAUUGAGCAUACCGAUGUGAGUUUAAUAUUGGAAUUUAGAGGAUAUAUUUUUUUCGAGAUUAUUUCGAGAGAAUAAAAGGAUUAUACUAAAGUAAUUAAUUUAUGAGUCAUUUAAGAAAGGGAAUCUUACAAUAUAUGAGUCAUUUAGACUAGGAAGGUCAUUAGGCGUCUAUUGAUGCAGGACUUUACCUUCUAGUUGUACUAUACCAGCCAUCUAUUUCGUAUUUUCGUUGUCGUAUCCUGUAUUUCAUAUUUCAUAUCUCUUAUAUAUUGUUGUUGUUUUAUUACGCAUUUUUACAUAACUAAUGUAUCAUCUCCUAUUGCUUCUUUUGAGCCGAGGGUCUCCUGGAAACAGCCUCUCUACCUUUCGGAGUAGGGGUAAGGUCUGCGUACAUACAACCCUCCCCAGACCCCACUUGUGGGAUUAUACUAGGUCGUUGUUGUUGUUGUUGUAAUCUUACAAUGUUCCAAAAAAGUCUCAAAUUACCAACUCGUGUAGCUAUUAAUCCGACUUACCAAAACUAGUUAAACACGUAUAAAAAUUGAAAAUCCAAAGAAACAUGGUUUUUUCUCUCCAAGAAUGACAAAGAUCUCCUUCCAUAUUUUCAAGCGUGAUUAGCAACAUUAGAUGAAGGCGGAAAGGAAAUUCCAUGGAUGAAGUAGCAAAUAAAGUGAUGAAAUACAUACAUACAUACAUACAUAUAUAUAUAUAUAUAUAUAUAUAUAUAUACACGGUUGAGAUUCUUUGAAAACAUAUAGAUGAGUCAAUAUACAAAACUUGAAGAAGAUUGGAGGUUAUUUGGACUGAUUUGGUAUCAAAAUUCGUAGUUGAAAUCGAGUUCAAAAAAUUCUUUUGCGUCAUAUGUACUAAACAUGUAUCACGCAGGUAUACAUGGAUAUACAUGUGAUACAUAUUUGAUACAUAUGUGAUACACAGUGUGAUACACCUAUCAUUUUUUUCAUGUUCAUCUUCUAUUUCGAAUUUUCAAUUCAAACCACCUCAAAACUCCACCAAAUCAUCCCAAUAUUGAGAUUCAAGCAACUUAAGAUGUACCCAAUCUAUUCUAAUAACACUCACUCAAAAGAAAGCAAAAAUUUAACCCUUUUUGGCUACAAAUAGCUAAAGUGCUAAUAUUAGUAAUAUUUUAUAAAUGGACCAAUUUUUGUAAUAAACUACUUAUAAAUGAACAUAGCUGAUAUUUUCUCUUUAAGAAAAACUUUCCUGCUAUUUCCAAAAAGUUGGCAAUAUAAGGGUGUUUGGUAAGCCCAUAAAUUUGUUUGAUUAGACACACUCACUUAUUGGUUUAUCUGAAUGUUUCUUAAAGGGAUUUUUACCUUCCUAUACAAUAUUUGAAACUUUAUUACCAAAUAUGUCCACAUUUAGUUAAUUAUCUGAUCUAAACAAGUUUUGUCUACAAAAUAUAUACAUUUAUUUAAACUAGAACCCUUCCUGCAGUAGCCUUCCUUUUGUAGACGCAAGAUUUUGGGAUCGCAUAGGAUUCUUUAGAGAUUUUAUGCAAUCAUCGCAAUUUAAUUAAGCCUGUUAUUACGUCGAUUUUCUCUGAUUAUUAUCGCACAAUCAAGUUCUAUUCUCUAGUGUUCUCUGUUUCCUCUGGUUUCAAAACCAUAAGCGAAGGUUUUAAAAAAAAUUGCAAACAAUUAUCUACAAUUGUAUUGAAUUCUGCGGCAUAAUGUCAAAAUUAGCUAUUAUGCUUCAGAUAAAUGAUCAUUGGGAUAGCAUUGAGGAUACAAAGAUUGUAAUAUUGAUGGAAUUGUAGUCAGCGAGGAUUCAAAUUAUAGUCAAUUGAAUUCUGCAAUUGUAGAGUAUCUAAUGAUCGAUACCUCCGAAAAAAUCAUCGAAAUCAAAUACAUUAUCAAUGAAUGUUGUCCUCCAAUGAAAAUUCGGAACGAUAUGGGACUUCGAGUAUACACGGAGACGAAAAAGGAAAACAAAAGCUUAGGAAUAUAUCCCCUAUAUAUAACAGUGCAUGAUUUCGAUUUGGAAUGCAGUAUCUCUAAUUCGAGCACAAUUACAAGUUUGCUCUGUAUUUUCAGUGGUGAUGUUUUGUCAGUUCCAUGUGUUCUACAGUUAUUCUACAACAUAUCUACAAUGAUACUACCUAACAAAUGUAGUUUAACUGUUAUGACUAUUGAAGUAUUCAAUUUCACGUGUUCUACAAUUUUACUACAAAUUAUCUACAAUAUAUUUCUGAAUUAUAGAUACUUUUAAUUGAGUGCACGUUCAUCUGGAAUAGUGAAGGUGAUUGAUAGGCCAACAUCUCCGACAAUUGUGGAAUAUGAAAGUAUCAUCAUAAUAGAACAUAUGCCAAAUGUUGUUGAAGUAGCUCAAGUCUACAAAGACAAGCAAACAAUUAUCAAUGCAAUAAAGCACUAUUCUGUCAUGAAUAAGUUCCAAUUUAGGGUGAAGAGGUAGCAUAAGAAGGUGGGAACAAUUCAAUUGUUAAAUUCAUAUUUAUUUUAAUUUGUAUGUUUUUUUUUGUGUUUUUUUGUAUAGUUUGUACUUUCUUAAUAUAUAAAUUGUAUAUAAUUUGUAGUUUUUUUGUAUAAAAAUUGUCUAAUAUAAAAAUUUUAUGCUUAAACAACCUAUUAUUUUGUAGCUACAUUUUUCAUAACAAUUUUUAAAUUGUUCUUAUUCCGUAGUUGUUGCCUGGUAUGUGUCGGGGACAAUUGUACAUGGCACUUCAAGUCCACCAGCCUAAACGAAUCAGUAUUGUUUAAAGUUCAAAAAUUCAUCAGCUUGUACACAUGCUCUUUGAUGAACAAUACAUACACACAAAGCAAACCUACUGUCAUGGUAGUUGGUAGCAUGGUUAUACCAAAAUAUGCGGAUCCUAAGAUAAUAUACACACCAAAAGACAUACAAAUUGAUAUGUUGUCGGAACAUGGUGUGAACUUGACAUACAUGCAAGCUUGGAGAGCAAAGGAAAAGGCUUUAAAAUUUUUGAGAGGUCAUCCUGCUGAUUCCUACAGUCACUUGCCAAGUUAUUUGUAUAUUUUGGAGAAGACUUAUCAGGGGUCGGUAGUUAUUGCAGAAGACUGAAGAUGACUGUUUCUUGUACGCAUUUGUUGCGCUUAGUACGUCCAUCAACGGUUGAGAGUAUUGUAGGCCAGAUAUAGUAGUUGAUGGCACCUUCUUGAAGUCGGUAUAUAGGGGAAUAAUGUUAACAACUAGCACAAUGGAUGCAACAGGUAUUGUAGAUUAAUUGUAUAAAUAUAUUUGUAAAGUCAUUUUUCAGUAUGUAUUUUUUAUACUCUCAAGUUUUAUUUAAAAAAAUUGAAUUUCUUUUUGUCACCUGUGUGAUAGGUAACAUAUUACCACUGGCAUACGUUGUUGUUGAUUCAGAAAAUGGCGCAUCAUAGAAGUGGCUUUUUGAGCAAUUCAAACAUGCAUAUGGUGAAAAAUCAAAUAUGUGUUAUUCCGGACCGGAAUGAGAGUAUCUUAAAUGUAAUAUCUACUAUGCUUGCAUGUGGCAUAUUUGACAAAUGUAAGGUCAAAGUUCAAGAAGGGUCAUCUAAAGUUAAGCGAAUUGUACUUUGCCACAGCACGAUCAUACACACAUGAUGAAUUUGAUGAAAGAAUGACAAAGAUUGAAGAGAUCGACGCGUGUUAUAGCAUACCUAUAAGAUAUUGGCUAUCAUAGAUGGUCUCGGGUGUUAUACCCCAUUUUAACACGGGUCAAACUAGAGUACAAUAUAUUGAUAAAUACGACGUUUAAUUAAUUAAAAGAUUCAUCACCUAAUUAUUUUAAUGGUGAAUUAGGACACCUAAUUAUUAAAUAAUGUAGUAAAGUUAAGUCAAGUUUAUGGUCCGCUUAACCUUAGAAAUUCUAGGUAAGGAUUCUAAUUAUCUCAAAAGGAAGGAGUAAGGCACCUUUUAAGAUUCAUUAAAAAAUAGUUAAACGGUCAAACUUAGGUUAAUUAAUCCAACGUCUUGUUACAUAACACAAGUAUACCUAUUAGGUAUUUUAUACGUACUAAAAAUAGCUCAAAGUUAAUCACAAAAUGACUUUAACAAUAUAGGGUUAAUAAAUGAUCCAAUUGGUUAAGUAAAAGUUAAAAUGAUGGUUUGUGUGAAAUCCAUAAACGACUUAGUUUGAAGAAAAGAAUUAUGGUUUAAAAUGCACUAAAGCCAUAGUUUUUGAAAUACGUAUUUGGCUUGGAAUUCGAUCCUACCCUCCAACGUUUUCCCAUAUGAAAGGAUUUACCAAGACCCUGGCAGACUCCAAAUCCUUGAGUGUUCAUGGGUUAAAAAGUAGAAAUAAAGAGAAGGCUUCAAGUCUUCAUCUAAGUUAAUGUUAGUCCCAUGUGAUGAAUGAGUACUCUAUUUAGCAGAAAUACUAAAUAAUUAAAUAAACUUAAUUACCAAAACCCAUACUAAACAUGAAAUAAGCAUAAAUACAAAUAAAUCGGCCGUAAUCAAGAAGUUAGACAAAAUGGAUGUAAAGAAAAGAUAAGAAAGACGCCAUAGGCGCCCCAAGCGUUUCGCUUGUUUUCUUGCUAUCCGAUGCACUCCAGGGAAGAUGGUAUGUGAUGACCCUAUGUUCGGGUGGGAGAGUCUUGCAUUAAGACUCCAUGUUCUCCAAAGUGUACAUGCAAAUAAAGCGAGAAAUAAAAAUUAACAAUAUAAUCUUAAUAUUGCAAAUUGUAUCCCCAACUAGUUGAGGACAAUGAGAAAGUAAAGCAACACAAUUACUACAGUGGUGCUAAAAAACCAUAUCAAUAGAAGCAGAUUCUUUACAUAGGAAUUUUAAGUCAUCAUGACAACUACUUGCGAUGAAUUAAAAGAUGGAAACACAUUUUGUUCCUUUAAUAUACUUAUAGGUAUGAUUAACAAAACUAAGUUAACACUUUUUAGAGAUUACUACGACAUAGUAACUCAGGAAACAUUUAUUUAAACUAAAAGAAUAAAUCAUUUAUAAACACAUAUAUAAGACCCUAUUUUCGAUACUUCAAUGAUACAAUCUUAAGUCAAGGAUCUGUAAAACCACUUCCAUUAAAAUAUAUAUAAAAUUUCUCUCAUAGCAGGUCACUAAAAGGUUGAAACACUAAAUGAACAGACCCUUAUAACAGUAUAACAAGAGGAAAGAAUCAUAACUUGGCUCAAAUUAUAUUAUUUACUUACGACAAUGUCUAAAAUAAUUCUUAUUGCAACUGGUUGAGAUCUAGUUAGAACCUAUAAGCAUGGUCUCUAAAUUUCGAGCAAAAAAAAAAUAAUCCAAAGCCUGGUUUCUUUAUAAUAAGAAAAUUUACAUUGGUUAGCUUAUAAAAUCCUACUUUAACACGAGAGCAUAUGAGCCUUAAUAUCCAUAUUACAUUGAUUAGGCAGGUUGGUCAUUUUAUUGGUAAUUUAGAGCUCUUGAGAAGAUCUAUCUUUCAUUCUUUGGACAGUAAACUAAAAGUAGCGCAGCUAUGAAUAUUUAACGCAUGGAAGACAUGAGGUGAACCCAUUAUAAAUAGCAACACCCUAUAUGGAUGAUAGCUAAAGCAUGAAGCAUCCAUAUCCAUACGCAUUUACGCAACCAAAUCAUAUUUUAGAGACAGUUUUAUUUCAUACAAUAAGAUUAUUCGUGGUUUCUAUAAAAUACUCGUCCAACUAGCAUCCUCGCAGUCUAUUAUGACUUAACCCCCAUUCAAGAAAUAGCUUAACAUAUGAUUUCUAAUAUACGGAGGACAGCAGCUAAAGAAAAUAAGGAACACUUAACAUAAGAUUUUGACAAAGGAGUAAUAACACAAAAACGAUGACUUCAAUCAACUCUCAACAAAAAAAGGCAUGACGAAUAUCCAUUUUUAAUGACGUCUCACACAAAGAGAAACUAAUGCAUUUCAAAAAUUAAUGAUUCAAGCAGAUACUACCUAGAAUCGAAAGAAAAAUAAGUAAAACAAAGUCACUGACCUGUUGCGGGGCAGUGAACUAGGGCGAGGGUCUUGGAUUUAUCGGACUCCGACCUCGAACUAACUACUUCGAACGAUUCCGGAAAAAGGGCAAAACACCUCUGCUUUGACUAAAAAAAUCAACCAAUAGAGGCGAGAAAUAUCAAACGAAAAGCUAGGAUUUUAGAGAGUGCUUUAAAGGAGUAAAAGCGGGAGCGAAAAGCAGUGAGUUUGAGAAUCAUAUGCAACGAUGGCUCUAGUAAAGGGGGCGGCUGAAACUCUCAAAAUUUGGGGUGAAAGGGUCGGCUAAGAGCUUGUCCCCAAAUGGAUUGCAUUUAUAGGGCAAAAAUUAGGGUUCUUGGUUUGAAAAUUAAAAUAGCCGUUUGAGAGAGGAUUGGCCGUUUAUUUCACCAUUUUAGUCUAUCAUUUGGAAGGCAAGCUUCUCUGGAAAAGGGGAGAUAUCACGUGAGGAAGAGAGAGAGUUGAGAGAUUUUUGUGGGUUUAUUUGACCAAACUUAAAUGAGGAAGGUAUUCUAGAGGAUUCCUGGACUUGGGCUACCGGGUCACUAGGGUUGAACUUUAUUUUGGGUUAAAGAGACUUUGGGCGGCCGAAAUUUAGGCCUAGACUGCUGAAUAUUUUCUUUCUUCCUUGUAUAUUUUUUUGGGCUUCUAUUAAUUAUAUUAUAUAAUACUACUUACUAUUAACAUAUAAAAAUAUUCCUUAUACUAAUUGAUAAGUAUAAAACUAUAAUAUUCUUGGAACAAAUAUUUAUAAAAUGUAGGAUUAAAGAAACAUUACUAUUUUACUAAAUAAAGGAGAAUGAUAUGCUUAUUCACAAAAGGCGAUAAGAAUGAAUGAACGAGUGAAUAAUAAUAAUAACAAUAACAUGUAUAGUAAGAGUUUUAAUAAUAAUAACAAAUAGGCAUAAUUUGUAUUAAAAUAAAUAGUAGAAUAACUACCUUAUAUUAUUAGUGAUAUUAGAAGCUUAAAAAAAUAAUUUGAAAAAAAGAAGGGACAAAAUUGGAUGACAACAUCGGGUACUUGCUAUGGUGAACAGAACGUGGACGAUGACAGCAAACAUUGCAGAAUCAUUGAAUGCGGUAACAAAAGAUGCAAGAGAGCUGCUCGUAGUAGAACUAUUAGAGUACAUAAGGCUUCUUGAACGUUGGACUAAUGAAAAGUUAUUGAAAACAAAUGGUACGUUCACAUACCUUGGAAAAAAAAUACAACAAAGAGUUGGAGGACAACAAGACAUUAUCGCAGAAGAUGAGAGUAAUCUAUAUCCAGUAACGUCAGAUCAAUGAUUCCAUUAAACUAAAUAUAUACUGUUAAUUGUAGAUAAAGUAUUGUAUAAUUGUAGUUAUUUUGUAUAUGUUGCUGACAACUUGUUGUGUGUUUUUAAUGAAUUGUAGGUGAGGGCUUCCAUAGAACACAUCUAUACAGUGAUAGAUGGUGUGGAGCGCUUUAUUGUUUGUCUUCAAAAUAAGAGAUGUAAUUGUGGACAAUUCCAGCUUGAUGAACUUCCUUGUGCACAUGCUUUGGUGGCUUUGAGGCAUAGGAAUGAGUCUUAUAACUGUUGUUCUCCUUAUUACACGAGGGAGAGCCUUUUGCUUUAUGAAAUACCAGUAGAUCUGUUGCUUGACGAAAACAAAUGGAAUGUGCAACAGCAUAUAGCUGAAAAAGUCGUAAUGCCACAUACUAGGAAAAGACAGUCAGAGAGACCUCAAAAACAAAGAUACAAAGCAUAUGAUGAAGUAAAUGCAAAGAAGUACAAGAUUUCACGUGGCAACUGCGAACUAGAAAUAUCUUGUAAGAAUACUCCCAAAAGGAAAUAAAAAUUAAUAAAGUCACAAGAUUUUUUGAUAAAUCAUGUUGAGAUGUUCUGGAGAAUUAUAAUUGAGGUGUAAUUGUGUUGAUAAAUUGAAUAAAGACUAUCUCCUAUAAUGAAAUAUUUUCAACUCUUAAUGCAAUUGGUUUGUAGUUGUUUUGUUUAAUUACCGAGUGUAUUUAUCUCAGCCUUUCCUAAUAACACUGCUUAAAAUUGAAUAGAUUAUGUAUUUUAUAUAUUAGUAGUAGACAUAAUUGUAGUUAAGUCGUAAAGAAAUUAUAUGCUAAAAAUAACGAAACAAAAGGUAACAAAACAAAACAUAAGUAGUAGAAUCAAGUACUAAUAACUUUCAACCAAAAAGGCUUUUCCUCGUGUUUUCGAUUCUAAGUAGUAGAAUCCUGGACAAAAUAACAAAACAAAAGGUAAAACAAUUGUUGCACAAAUCUGUUACAAAUAAAUUUCAACUGACUUGUUCUUAGUUAACAAUUUGUCUACAACUUUAGUACAAACCAGUUAUAACUAAACAAUUUAACUAAAAAUUUUCUACAGAAAAGGGAAACUAAUUAUUCUUCUUCCGGAUUUGUAUUCUCUCGUUCACAGCUGGUGCACCUUUUCUUCUUGCUAAUCUGCCAGUCACCUCAGUCUCACUAAUUGCACCAAGCUCUUGCUUUUUCCUAGCAUAAUCCCAAAGUAAUGCUCCAUAGCGUCUACGAUGUUGAUCAAUAUCAGAAAGGUCUUCUUUUGAAAUCGCUAGCUCUCCAAUGCUGGCAUAUUUUGCAAAUGUCGCAACGUAUACACCACAGUCACUGCAAAAAGAAAUUAGGGAAAAAGAUUUAGCAUUCAGUGUAAAAUAAAAUAUGUUAAAUAGAUAGAAGGAAAAUCAACUUUUUCAUAGAGUGAUCCCUCUCUUUGCUGGGGUAUCUCACCGACCAAUCACUGAAUGUCAAGAGGGUCAGAAACACCUUUUUCAAUGUAUGCCUUUGUGUUCUUGUAGUUGAUGUUUCGACGCUUGCCAUAGAAGCCGGUGUAUGACAAAUAGAGGGAGAUCAUAACAACAAACUUGUUGACAACAGAUUCAACAAGGUUGUGAUGUUGUGAAGAGACCAUAGAAUCAUAAACAUAUAGAACCCUAUUGGUAAUGUUAAACACAACCAACAACCAAAGAAAUUUUUUCACAAUGUUUAUGGGCAUAAUCACAAAAUCAACUUGAUCCCAUGCAGCAUUUACAAGUAACCUAUACCCCAAUAUGUAUUCUGAUACGACGUCAUGGGGUUUGACAACAACAAGCUUCUUAUCGGUAGGAGCAUUAACAUACCUUUGGUAAAUAUGUUCAAUUCUAGUUUUGAACAUACAGUUAGUGGUUGUAAAUCGUGUUUUGUUUUGAGGACCAUACUUUCCUCUCUUCCUCAAAUAGUAUAAAAUAACAUCAGUGUGCUGCAAAAAAAUAAAUUUCAUUAUUUCUCAAUGCUUCAUACAAUUUAACUACAAUUUUUAAACAAAAAAACUACAAUAUUCUUAAAUAAUAGAAUACUACAACUAAUCAUUAAAUUCUGCCAGGGUAUGUAUUUACCUAUCGUUGAGGACUUGCCCGGGAUGUUCCAAAGUAUAAAACUACUCCUUUUUAUAAACUUUUUCCACUCGAAGAUCAUACCACAACUUAAGUUGGUUAUCUUUUACAGAAUCAGACGCCUUCCUCCUAUUUAAACAUAUAACAAUUACAAUAAAUAUAUAGAUUCAACUGGAAAUAAAAAAAUUGAAUACACUAAAAAAUAUGAAAAAUUUGUAUAAACUAACCUAUUUGAAACCAUAUUGGUACCAAAGUAUAACUACUUAUUGAAUUCUUCCAACAAGUCAGGAUCAACAUCAUCCCCAAUAACCUCAGUAAAUGGAUGCUUGAUGAGGAAAAUUAGAGAUCCAACAGAAGUGCUCCCCUCAGAACUGUAAAAAGGGAGGAAGGGGGAUCUGGCAUGCUUUCCAGGCUACCUUGUUCUUCCUUAAUGCACAUGGGUUAUUUCAUCUUCAUUAAGCUCGCCGAACUUAACAAUCUGGGAGAAGAUCUCUGGCAGCUCAAAAUCAUCAAGUGUUAAUUCCCCUUUUUCAGAUCUGGAGUUAUUGUUUGAAUCACCUACAUUAAUGUAGUCGGCUGGUUCACCUUCAAAAUUUAAAACAAAAGAAUAAGAAGACAUGUUGCAUAGUUCUUUAUGGAAAAUUGAAACUUAUAUAAAACCUGUUUUUUUCCUACAAUUAUAAUGUAACAUAUAAUACCAUUGAAAUCUUCACAGCGAUUGUCUCCUUGUUGUAUAACGUUUUCUUGUUGAAUGGGAGAUUGCAUUUUUGUAGACUCCUUCUCCUCAUUUAAAUGCUCUCCUGGAACGCUAAUAUUAGCUUUCUGUUUUGGAGAGUCCACAUGCAUAAUUUCCUUCUCUGUUACAAUAAUGUGUACAACUUAAUUAAAUUAUAGAUAAUUUGCAAUAAACAUUAACAUCAAUAUAGAUAAAUUGUAGUAAAUUUGUUGAAAUGUUAUCCUGCAUUUGAUAUGCAAAAUGUAUUGUGAAAUAUGAUGAUAAUAUGUACUAAAUCAUACAUGCAUUUUCUUCAUCAAAUGUCCCUUCAAAUUGGGAAGAUAAAUCAACACCUAGAGGAACAUUAUCCUUAAUUUGAAUGUCAUUCAUGUGCCAUGUAUCUAAGAAAACCAUUGAAAAUAUAAUGUAGAUUAGUUGUUGGUAAUUUAGGCUAUAUGUAGAUAUAUUGUAGAUAUAAUGUAGAUACAUGUUUUACUGCUGCUGACCAACAUUGGUUUAGAACUACUGCCCGAAAUGUGUUGAUUGUUCUUUUCUUUGUAAUGCUCAUCUUUUUUCGUAGAACUGCUAGUAAACUGCAAGCAUAAUUUGUUAGGCUAUAUACUUUAUGAAUGAUAAUAGAAACUUAGACAUGGUGAAAAUUAUUAUCUAAAAUGAAUAUAUUUCGAAUGAAACCUUAGCAUCAAUGUUAACCUUUUGACUGUUUAUUGCCUGUAAAACAGGCUUGACUGAAUCAUUGAGUAACAGUCGAAUACUACCUAGUUCUUGAAAAACCUCUUUCGUGAAAGUUCCAAGGUCUGAACCCACCUACAUAUUAAAAUAAAAAGAGUUAACGAAAUAAUUUGCAUAACAUAAAUUAAAGAAACAAUCUAGGAUUAUGUAUAAAUAUUACUUUAUCAACAUCUUUUCUUAAUUUUUUUUAUUUGUUUCACAAUAUCUUUCUUGUCAUCUUUUUCAGUUGUCUGCUUAUAUCCGGAUGGAGAUAGAGCAUCUGUCGGAUGCUUGGACUUUGUUUCAUCUUCUUUAAGGAUGUAUUCAACUUUAUCUAGCAAAUUCAUUCUUGAAAGCUCUUUUGGUGUUUCAAUUAUGUUGGCGAACUGAGUGAAAAAAAAAUGUGAGAGACCUAGUCAUAUUAUGUAUAAAUUAUGUAGAUAAUUUGUAUUAAAUUGUGUGCGUAGAAGUGAAAACUAUUUACCUUGAUCCAUGAUGGUUUGAUCAUUCUAUCUUCCAAUGCAGAUAAUCAUAUCUUGUCCUUACUAGCUAUCCAGUUAAGUAUGCGGGGGAUCGAAUUAGCAACCCUUGUAGCUCUAUCCAUGUUGACUAUAAUGCAACACUCAUACAACCAUAUUUGUAUAGCUAGUGCAAAACCUCGAAUGAGAUAAAAAUGCACAAAAGUAUUGCGCUUGUGCCUAACAGACUCAAGCAAUCGUGUAUAAGAUUGGAUACCCCAUGCGUAGUUCGCAUACUGCCCCGAGUCCACCAAGUAGAACCUAAAAUGGUCUAUCAAACCUAAAUUAUCUUUGUUUGAAGGACAGAGGAAAAAUUACGUGAGAUAGAGAAUACACAGCUUGACUGCAUCCUCAUUUUUCACCCAACUACGAUCGGUUACAAUUUGUUUCAAGUAUGACUUCUCAACUUUUUCCUUGUUCGAAAAAUAGCUGCUCAUUAUUUUACUUUCAUACUUAGUUAUGUAACCAAAGUCACUCACUUUUAUAAAACAUCUAAGGCCACUAAUCAGGGCAAACUCUCUCAACCCGCAAGGCGUCCCCCAGCCUUCCAACGGGAAGGACUUCAAUAUAAAAAUAAAUUUUCGUUCUUCCUGUUCCCGCAUCAUACGUAUACUCGGUUGAAGGUGGAUUUAGAAAGGAUCAACAGCGGUGUCCCAAAAUUCACCCUCUCACCAUUUAUCUCUGCUGUAAAAAAAGCCGGAACCAGAUGCGUUCAAUUCAUAUUUCAUGAGAAGAUGAAUUGCCUGAUUUUGAAUAUAUAUUUUGGGCAAGGAAAGAAAAUAUCCAAAACAUGUCUUCUUAAACAGCUUUAACCAAUUUUUAGACAGUAAAUCCUUGAUUUGGCCAGGAAUAGUAGGAUCGGAUAAUGUCUAGAACCUAGUGAUGCCAUAAUCAACAUCAUGUGGUGCAAAAAAUAUUCAAUUCUACAGCAAAAAAAAAACAUCAAGUUAAUAAAAGUUGUUUCAAAAUCAGAAAAUAAAAUAACUACAUUUAUACUGCAAUUUAACUACAACUAGAAAACAUUAAUACAUUACAAACAAUUAAGUUUCAACACUAGUAAACAUAUAUAACAACUGACUACACUGAAUCUACAUAUACAUUGAUAAAAUUAUGUUUAGAGCAAGGAAUUAGAAAGUAUGAACUAGACAUAAUAUAUACAAUUUCUCUACAAAAAAUGAAACUAACAUCUACAAAAGAGCAAAUAAUAACCAAUAAAACUAACUAAAUCAUGUAGUACAUUCCCUAGCUAGCUGAUUUCGAAUAAUAUAGAAGAAAUCCACAAUUUACAGGGAAAUAUAGAAAAUUUAUUAACCUACAACAAAUCUACAUAAUAUAAACAAAAUAUCUACAAAUACAAAAAAACAAAAAUUAUGUAUGUUCAUGAGAAUGAGAUCAAGUUUUUUAGCUUUAAAAAUAAUAAUUAAAACUACUAAAAUUUUACCAUCUCCAAUAACUGUUGGGGUAUAGUUUUAGCCGCUUUUUGAACCUUCUUCUUUUUUGAAGGUUUAAGAGUAGGAAAAACUCUAUUUUUUUUUGCAACUUUCGUAAUAACUUCUUCUUUGACGAAAUCAUCAUCGGAAGCAAUUUCUUUGCCCUUCUGUUUUACAGAUUUAACAGACGUCGAGGCUUCACCAGUAUCCCUAUCGUGCUUAUGUUUUGUUCGAGCUUCUGCCCUAACUUCACGAGGGGAAAGCCUGGGGUCGGUCUCUGCUUUUGCAUGUGUCGAUUUUAAACUUUUUUGGGUGAAUCCUGUGAGAAAACACCCAAAUCAAAAGUAGGAAUAUCACCUACUUUAAUUUUUUAGGGCUAAUCUUCGAAAGUGUUUUCUUCUUGAUUGAAAAUUAAGCAAAAAUUUAACCAACUAGUUUGAUAGAAAUAAAAAGGAAAGGGAAUAGAAAAAUAUUAAAUUAAUAAGGUAUAAUUUAGAAAAUAUAAAUGCAUUAUAAGGUUAUUUUUGUUUUAAAUAUAAAUAUGAUUUUUCCCCAAAAGCAAAAAAAUUGCUUCUGGUGCUGUUUAAAAGUAUUUUUUCAUCUUGGCCAAACACCUCAAAUUUUUCAAAAAGUACUUUUUUUGUUGUCCUCCUGGAAGCUUGGCCAGCCAGGCUCUUAGUUGAUUUUGGUCCGUUCAAUGAAACAAAUUAGCAUUAUUCAAUAUAAUAUUUGUCCCUAUUUUCUUUUUCCGCAUAUCUGAUAUCAGCAUAAACUAGGCGAAUAUAUUGUAUUAUUUUAUAUGGGAUAGAAUGCGAGAUAUGAUACGUGGAUUAGUAAUACAUAUAUUAACACCACUAGAUAACAAAAAUAAUCCUUCGUAUUUUGAAAUAUAGACAUUUGACUAAUCCCGCAUUAUUAAAACAAGCUAGGAAAUGCUUUUGAAUUGUUUAUUAACAUGUGCAACACACUGGUCAAUGUUGCCAGUCUUUUAGACAUUGAAAGGAGUUUAAUCUUGGACCAGCCAACGCAUUUGGAUCUUUUGGGAAAGUAUUGGUCAUUCCUUUGACAUCCAUUCUAUAAAGUGAGCUUCAUACUAAACAGAUAUUCUCAUAGCUUUCACAAAAAAAAUGUCUGUUCUUGCCAUUCUAUUCAUUUGUUUGUGCAUGAUAUUGUCCAACUUCAAUGGGAAUAUUAGUGAGGCAAAAACAUUCUCAUUUGAGGAAAUAACUGUCAGUGAUAUUCAAAUAGCUUUCAAGCAAAACAGACUGAGCUCAAGGCAACUUGUUGAGUACUAUCUAGGCCAAAUUCAAAGAGCUAAUCCAGUUCUUAAAGGAAUCAUAGAAGUGAAUCCAGAUGCACUAUAUCUAGCAGGUAUGAGUCAAACAACUUUUGGACGGGUUAAUGACUUGUCAACAUUUAUCCAUUUUGACCUGUCUAAAUUCAAUAGAUUUGACACUCCUAGCUACUUGCAGAUAAAGCUGACCAAGAACGUAAAGCGAAGACGCCAAAAUCAUUAUCCAGGCUACAUGGUAUACCUGUUCUUGUUAAGGACAACAUUGCAACUAAGGAUAAGCUUAACACAACAGCUGGAUCUUUAGCUCUUCUUGGAUCCAUCGUACCACAAGAUGCUGGUGUAGUCAAGAAGUUGAGGAAAGUUGGGGCUAUCAUACUUGGCAAGGCAACUAUGACUGAAUGGGCUGCUUUUAGAUCUGGAGAGUUGCCUAGUGGUUGGAAUGGUAGACUUGGCCAAGCUCUGGUGAGUUAUAGCUCAAAAAAAUAAAUAUCUAUUAUUUAAUUUAGAGGCGAUAAAUGUGCGGGUUGUGUCAAAUUUGGGUGACUAAAACGAGUCAAAUCAGCAAAUAGGUCAUGACCGGAUUCACUCAAAGUCUACUUGGGUCAAAAUCAGUUAGAUUAAGAUGGAUCAAAUAAUGGGUCAUAACUAUAUUGGGAAUUUGCCUUUUGAAAAUAAUAUGAAGGCCAAUCUUUUUUCCUUAAAUUAUUACUAGUUAAGUUCUUCCAGAAGUACACAAUUCCAAUCUUUAAAUUUGAUUAUGAUGAAACCUGUUUGGUUUUAAGUUCUAUUUUGACCCGUCGGGUUGCACUAAUGUGCUAUUUUGAUAAGUUUUACCCCCAUUGUUUGAUCGAUCAUUUCGAGUUCAAGUCCAUAGGUCUAGAGGCGGAUCCAAAAUUUAAGCUCUAUUUGUUCCACCUUUAAGGUUCUUAUCUUUGAACUCAUGAAUAUGCGGACAUAUUAGACUGGAUAAGAUAAUGAAUGAAGAUAUUCGGGAAAGGGUGGGCGUUGAUAUCGUGGACGACAAGAUGCAGAAAGCGAGGCUUAGAUGGUUCGGACGCGUGCGGAGGAGAACCAUAGAUACCCUGGUUAGGAAGUGCGAGCGGUUGGAUUUGACAGGUACGAGAAGAGGUAGAGGGCAGCCUAAGAAGUAUUGGGACGAGGUGAUCAGGAGGACAUGACGUUGCUUCAGAUUUCCGAGGAUAUGACUCUUGAUAGGAACGUGUGGAGGUCGAGCAUUAGGGUUGUAGGCUAGGGGGUAGUCGAGCGUUAUUCUCUCUUUGUAUCAGGUAGUCUGAUAGAGUUUUGUCUAGGUCUGUUAGCGAUCUAUGUUGUGUUCACAUUAUUUUGUUGUUUUGUAUAAUAUUGUAUUAUUGCCCUUUCACUUAUUUGUUGUCUCUUACGAUGCUAUUAUUACUUUUUUGGCUUCUUUUGUUGUUACAGAACUUUUUUUUUGUUUUUUUUUUUCCUGAUAUUAUUGUAUCUUCUGGGUCCCCAGAAACAGCCUCUCUACCCUUCCGGGGUAGGGGUAAGGUCUGCGUACACUCUAUCCUCCCCAACCCAUUAGUGGGAUUUUACUGGGUAUGUUGUCGUUGUUGUUUGGGUUCAUACCUACAAUUUAUUGCAAUAUUAGCGGAUUUUAACACAAAUUUAUAGUCCGCGUCAAAGAUAUUGGAUUUAAAUGAACCCGAUAGUGAUACAUUGCAUCUGCAUCUGCAUAGGUCAAGUCAGUCAAUAAGUUAUCCAACUAGUUUAUACUUGAACAGGAUGUUAAAAUAGAUUGAUUUUGCCACCUGUGAUUUCUUAAGAUGCAAAAGAUCGGAAUUAAGGUGAAACAAAGAUCUAAAGUAUAUAAUUGACUAAAAAGAGUUUACUCAUGUUAUUCAGAAUCCUUAUGUAGCAAGUGCUGAUCCAUCAGGAUCAAGCACUGGUUCAGCAACAUCAGUAGCAGCAAACAUGGCAGCAGUAACACUGGGGACAGAAACAGCAGGCUCCAUUCUAUCUCCGUCAAGUGCUAAUUCUGUUGUUGGAAUCAAACCAACUGUAGGCCUCACCAGCAGGGCCGGCGUUGUCCCAAUUUCACAUAGGCAAGACACUGUUGGGUAUGUACAGAUUUAAAUCUUAGGUCUCUAUAUACUGCCAGCAUUUGGAUCCACGACUGCUUGCUUUACAAUUAAAUGUUCAAUCCAUAACCAUAUUAAGCCCUUUGUAAGUCAUCCGCUAUAUCAUGGAGUAGUUGUUAACCUCCCAGUUUUCUCCGAAAGUGAGUGAAGGGAAAAGAAGAAUAAAAAUGACUUUUUAGAUCUAAAUGCAAAGAAAUUAUUUUUACUGGAUAAUUUACCUGUCCAAAGUUCACAUUUUGUUCAAGUUGUAAUAGUACUGCAAGAAGAUAAAUAAAACAGCAAAUCAAAAAAGAAACAAAAUUAAAGUGCAAUACAUUAGGGAUGCAAAAUGCAAAUAAAAAACAAUGAACAGAUUAUCAUAUACAAUGCUUUUUCUGCAUAGAACAGGCCAAUCUGCAGGACAGUAUCUGAUGCUGUUGAGGUUCUUAAUGCCAUCGUUGGUUUCGAUCAAGAUGACUCACCUGCAACGAAACAGGCUUCCACUUACAUUCCUCGUGGUGGGUACCGGCAAUUUCUUAAGGCUGAUGGGCUCAGAGCUAAGAGAUUGGGAAUUACAAAGGACCUUUUUAGCUCAGAUGAUAUCAAGGCUUACCAACACCAUUUUAACACCUUAAGGUAGCCUUUUUAUUCUCACUAGCAUUUCCGUAGUUUAGUACUGUUACUAAAUAUCCUAAUAGCAAUGCACUUUUUUCUGGGAUGAAUAUUUGAAGGCAAAAAGGAGCAGUGUUAGUUGACAAACUGGAAAUACCUAACAUCAACUUGGUCUACACCGCUGUGUUUGAUGCUCAAGGCAUUGCACUGACCGCCGAAUUCAAGAUGGACCUAAAUGCAUACCUUAAAAAGUUAGUCCACUCUCGAGUCCGAUCCUUGGCAGAUGUUAUAGCCUUCAACAAGAUUUCAGCUUCGGUAAGUACUGUCAAUCAAUUAACACCUCAGUAUUAAACAAUGUUCAGGUUAGUUGUACUAAUCCUUGUAACUGUUCUGUUAUACUCAGGCCAAAUGCAUUUAAAUCAUUGGUCUUUUAAACUAGACAUUUUCCUUUUAAAUUCCUCACUAUUCUUAUAGUGGAGUUCAAGUCUCUAAGCAAACUAAAAGACUCAUCGUAUACACUAGACCUGAGAUAAGGGCAACAACCUCAACUAUGGUUUAAUCCAACCAUUCCAAUAUCGCCUAUAUGAGUCCCUUGUUCUUAGCUAACUCUACAUCAUUUUUUAGGAGAUUUUUGGUCGUUUAAGACAACUUCCCAGUUUCCUCUCUAUGAUUUUGGUUUAACUCUACAACAUUUUUUAGGAGAUUUUUGGUUUAUUUCUAUUAAACCAUCUUAGACGACCUUCUCUCUAUUGCACCCUCUCUUUGAUGUAAUCAUUUCUAAUCUUAUUUGAUCUUAUGUGACCGUGUAUUCAUCUUAAUAUCGUAUCCCUACCACAUUCAUUAUGUGGAUAUGUUGCUAGCUGCUCUCACCAUCUUUCCAUAUUGGCUAACACUGAUUUUGUUUCUGAAUGAUAUGUAAAAUACUCACAUUAAGUUUCAAAAAAACUUAGGUAUAAGGUCUUUUUAUCUCUCCACUAAUAGACUCCUACAGAUAUAACAGGUUAACUCAUUGGUAGUCUUUGUUUCAGAUUUUGAACCUAGCAUAGUUCUAUUCUUUGUUACUCCACAUAAUGUAUGCAAAUAUUUACUCAAAAACAUUAUCGCCUUACCCUCCAUUCUCCAAAAAGGCAAAAAAUCCUCAUAUGACUUAACAUGUUAGUCACAUGAGUCGUGAUUGAAACUCUCCGAAGUAAAAGAUAUGUCAUACAUUGUAAUCAAAAUUAAUUUACUAGGUAUCAUCACUAGAAGUAGAAUGGAAAUAUAUCGUGUUUUCAUUCUUUUUUGGUGUUAAUGUAGGAAAACGUCAAAAAAUUUGGUCAAGAUACUAUGUUGGAAGCUGAGAAGACAAAUGGAAUUGGGAAAUUGGAAAGGGAGGCACUGAAGAACAUAACAAAAGCAUGUAAAUAUGGGUUUGAGAAAAUGAUGAAAGAUAAUAAAUUAGAUGCUUUGAUGUCACCUGGUGCAAACAUUGCUGGUCUUCUCGCAAUUGGUGGUUAUCCAGGGAUCAAUGUACCUGCUGGUUAUGAUAAAAAUGGAGUUCCAUUUGGGAUUUCCUUUGGAGGACUAAAGGGUUCUGAACCUACACUCAUUGAGAUUGCAUAUGGCUUUGAACAAGCAACUCAUAUCAGGAAGCCCCCUCCUUCACAUCCUCGCUAGGAAUUACAUAUUCAAUUUCAAUCUAAAAUGUAUCCACAUCUCAAGUAAUAUUAUCUAUAUAUAUCUGCAGUUUUACCAAGCAUGCAAGAACUCUUUUUAAAUAGAAAUAACACAUGAUUUGUGGAAUCUCUUAACCAUUAUCCUAUAGCAAAAGAAAUGAUCAAAUGCCCCAUAUCCCUGCCGUCUCAAUCGCAGAAUGAAAAAAGUUACUGUUCUGUAACAGUGUCAGGGUGUAUACGUACUUUCCAAAUGUCGUUUUUUCUCCUGUCUUGGUUGUAUUAUUUUUUUUCUUGGUUGUUAUUGCUAUGUGCUUCAGGAUAAUGACUAAUGGCAAGGAUUGUCUUCUGCUUCCUUUUUGUGGCUCUAUUCAUUUGUCUGUGCAUGAUAUUGUUCAACUUCAAUUUCUCAUUUAAGGAAAUAACUGUCAAUGAUAUUCAAAUAGCUUUCAAGCAAAACAGACUGAGCUCAAGGCAACUUGUUGAGUACUAUCUAGGCCAAAUUCAAAGAGCUAAUCCAGUUCUUAAAGGAAUCAUAGAAGUGAAUCCAGAUGCACUAUCUCUAGCAGGUAUGAGUCAAGUAACUUUUGGAUGGGUUAAUGACUAGUCAACAUUUAUUGAUUCUGUCCAUUUUGACGUGUCUAAAUUCAAUCGAUUCGACACUCCUACUUGCAGAUAAAGCUGACCAAGAACGAAAGCGAAGAUGCCAAAAUCAUUAUCCAGCAGAAGCGGAUGUAGCUCAUGAGCUACGAGUUCAAUUGAACUCAUAACUUUAAUACGUGACUCAGAUGAUAUGUAAAAUAUCAUCAAAAUCUCAAUAAAUAUUAUGUUAUGAACCCAUAAUUUUUAAUGUGUAAUGGGUUCAGGGGUAAAAACAUAAAGAUUGAACCCUUCAAAUUGAAAUUUUGGAUCCGUCUAUGCUAUCCAGGCUACAUGGUAUCAAGGGCGAAUCCAUAGCAUCCGUCUCUGCUAUCAUGGUCUCUGCUAUCCAUAGCAUACGGGGCACGUCAAACCAUGCUCCCUCUGCCAAAUUAGGUAUUUUUUAUGUAGGUAUUUUUUAGAAUUUGUCCAGUAUUAUGUAUUAGCACCCAUGCUUUAUAAAGGUUGAAUGGUGCACUUGGUUCAAUACUUAAUUAUUUCUCCUCCUUUUUUUAGUGGUGCACCCAUAUUCUCGAAAUCCUAGAUCCGCCUCUGCAUGGUAUCCCAGUUCAUAAGGAUAAUGUUGCAACUACGGAUAAGCUUAACUCAACAGCUGGAUCUUUAGCUCUUCUUGUAUCCAUUGUACCACAAGAUGCUGGUGUAGUCAAGAAGUUGAGGAAAGUUGGGGCUAUCAUACUUGGCAAGGCAACUAAGACUGAGUUGGCUUCUUUCAGAUAUGGAAGCUUACCUAGUGGUUGGAAUGGUAGACUUGGCCAAGCUCUGGUGAGUUAUAGGUCACAAAAAGUAAAUAUUAGUAAUUCUUUAGAGGUGUUAAAUGUGCGAGUUGGGUAAAUUCGGGUAAGUCAAAUGGGUCAAAUCAUCAAACAGGUCAUGACCCAACUCACUAAGAGUUUGCUUGAAUCAAAAAAAUGAAUUAGACUAAAAUAGGUCAAAUUACGGGUCAUAAACCCAUCCUUCCAAUAUGACCUAAUUUUUGCUGCUUUUUCACUUUGUUUUUUUCUCUCUAAAAUUAAUUAGUUAAGCUCUUCCAAAUUAACAUACUCCAACUUUUAAUUUUCAAGUUUAAUUAUGAUGAAACCUGUUUGGGUUUAGGUUCCAUUUUAAUCCACUGGGUUGCACUAUUUUCAUCAUUUUUAAUCCAGUAAUUUGAUGGGUCAUUUCGAGUUCUAGCCCCUUAGGCCAGGUCAACAGACGGGUCAGAACUCAACUCGUUAAAUUUGGAUAGGUUUGAGCGGGUUAGCACAAAAUAGAUCUAUUGUGGCACCCCUAUGAUUACUUAAGACAUGACUCUUGAUAGGGAAUUAUGGAGGUCGAGCAUUAAGGUUGUAGGUUAGGGGAGAGUGUGAAUAUUUCUACAGCACAAUAGAGUGAGACUAUCCAGUUAGGAGUUAGACUAGAAAUGUCAUUGGUCGUCUAUUGACGCAGGGCUUUACCUUCUAGUUGUAUUAUACCAGCCAUCUAUUUCGUAUUUCGUAUUUCGUAUUCUGUAUUUCAUAUUUCAUAUCUCUUAUAUAUUGUUGUUAUUUUUAAUACGCAUUUUUAUGGUACUAAUAUAUCAUCUCCUAUUGCUUUUUGAGCCGAGGGUCUCCUGGAAACAGUCUCUCUACCCUUCGGGGUAGGGGUAAAGUCUGCGUACAUAUUACCCUCCCCAGACCCCACUUGUGGGAUUAUACUGGGUCGUCGUCGUCGUCGUUUGUUGUAUGAUUACUUAAGACGGAAAAGAUAGGGAUGAAAGAGAAACGAAGAUUUAAAGAAACCGUUCUUACUUGGACUACAAUAACAAAAAAUCGGCUUAGUUGAAAGGGAUCAAUAUUGCAUGUUGAGGUGAUGAGAUGAACUAUAGAACUGCUCCUUUUAAUUUAUUUACUACUAGAUUUGUAUGGCCCGUGACCAACACCGUCCCAACAAUGCAGCUUAAACAUUUCAAUUCAUGCGAAUAUAGAUCUAACUUAAAUCUGUGGUGAUUUAAGCAUAGUUCUAGAUACGAAGCAAAAGGAAACAAAACCUACCUGAGGCUGAGUCGAUGACAAAAAAAAUAAGCAUUAAGGUUGAAAAAUAUCGGCCUUGGCCAGUCCCUGCUAAAUUCUCAUAUCUAAAGCGAGAGUUUAUACAUACCAACUAAUAGAUACAUCAAUUGAUUCUGCAUUUUUUUUUCUGGAUAUUUCCUUUUUACUUCUUCCCAAAGAAUUAACCUUAUUGGUGUUUUCAACAAAGUUACAUUAUUUUUUGAAAAGGCACAAAGAUAUAUUAUCUCAAACGUUAAAGGAACAACAUCAGCAUCUCUAGAUCCUCAUCAAAACUCAGCCAAAUUUCAGAGUCAUAUAAUUCUAUUCACAUAGGCGUAGGACAAUUAAAGCGGAAAGCUAAGGUUAGAAAAGUAGUCACAAGCAGCAUCAGGAAAAUUCCCCGAUAGACAUAUCAUAGCUUUUCUUCGUAACUAACUUAUUUUGUUGUCUACAUCAGUAAGGAUAACCAUCCACAGUCCAUGAAUGGUAGAAUUGCUUGCUCUCAUUCAUGAUGGGGUUGUGUGGGUUGAUCUAUAUUAUCUUCUCGCUGGACAUAUAUCUGCGUAUGCUAGAACCAUUUAGAGCUUUAGCCUUCAAAAGUCUCCCCAUGUAGGAGUAAUAAAACACCACCGAGAUCCAUGACAUGAUUAAAAACAACGACCUUGUCUUCACGCACACCCUUAAUAACCCCCCUGCAAACCUUUUUACUUAUGCUUCAAUAUCAUCUAACCAUGAAGAGAACCCUAUAGCCCUUCUCCAUCCCAACUAAUUUAGGUGUUUUAGCUAUAUGCGGAUAAAAAAAGUCAAACAUAGUCAUAAAAUCUAGGCAAUUAACACCUGCAAUUUCAAGACAUAGACAAUUGAGUUGGCUUGAAUUAAGGUUGAACUAUGGUAAAACAUGAUUGAAUUAAAUAAUUACGUUUUUGUCAAUAAAAUUCAAGUAGCAAAAUAAAAUAACGAAUGAAGAACUCCUUAGAAUAACUUAAGGUACCACAAAAACCUGUAGCACAACUUUUGAAGUUAUUGCUUAGAAGUUUCUGGAAUACCAGAGACUUCAAUGUUAAGUCAAUUUCUAUCAUAACAUAAUAUUUUACAUGUGAUUUCAUAUUUGAUGUUGGUCAUUUUUUAUCUGUAACAUAUUGCGUACAUGUGAAAUCACAUAAUCACCCGUUCAAAAUAUAUAAUGCUCCGCACAAAUUUGAUGCUAAGUUAAUUACUCUAGCUUCAAGUAUAGCUCUUUUAGUAAAG